UUAAGUUAUUAAGGGCGCACGGUGGAUGCCUUGGCACUAGAAGCCGAUGAAGGACGUUACUAACGACGAUAUGCUUUGGGGAGCUGUAAGUAAGCUUUGAUCCAGAGAUUUCCGAAUGGGGAAACCCAGCAUGAGUUAUGUCAUGUUAUCGAUAUGUGAAUACAUAGCAUAUCAGAAGGCACACCCGGAGAACUGAAACAUCUUAGUACCCGGAGGAAGAGAAAGAAAAUUCGAUUCCCUUAGUAGCGGCGAGCGAAACGGGAAGAGCCCAAACCAACAAGCUUGCUUGUUGGGGUUGUAGGACACUCUAUACGGAGUUACAAAGGACGACAUUAGACGAAUCAUCUGGAAAGAUGAAUCAAAGAAGGUAAUAAUCCUGUAGUCGAAAAUGUUGUCUCUCUUGAGUGGAUCCUGAGUACGACGGAGCACGUGAAAUUCCGUCGGAAUCUGGGAGGACCAUCUCCUAAGGCUAAAUACUCUCUAGUGACCGAUAGUGAACCAGUACCGUGAGGGAAAGGUGAAAAGCACCCCGGAAGGGGAGUGAAAUAGAACCUGAAACCGUGUGCUUACAAGUAGUCAGAGCCCGUUAAUGGGUGAUGGCGUGCCUUUUGUAGAAUGAACCGGCGAGUUACGAUUUGAUGCAAGGUUAAGCAGUAAAUGUGGAGCCGUAGCGAAAGCGAGUCUGAAUAGGGCGUUUAGUAUUUGGUCGUAGACCCGAAACCAGGUGAUCUACCCUUGGUCAGGUUGAAGUUCAGGUAACACUGAAUGGAGGACCGAACCGACUUACGUUGAAAAGUGAGCGGAUGAACUGAGGGUAGCGGAGAAAUUCCAAUCGAACCUGGAGAUAGCUGGUUCUCUCCGAAAUAGCUUUAGGGCUAGCCUCAAGUGAUGAUUAUUGGAGGUAGAGCACUGUUUGGACGAGGGGCCCCUCUCGGGUUACCGAAUUCAGACAAACUCCGAAUGCCAAUUAAUUUAACUUGGGAGUCAGAACAUGGGUGAUAAGGUCCGUGUUCGAAAGGGAAACAGCCCAGACCACCAGCUAAGGUCCCAAAAUAUAUGUUAAGUGGAAAAGGAUGUGGCGUUGCCCAGACAACUAGGAUGUUGGCUUAGAAGCAGCCAUCAUUUAAAGAGUGCGUAAUAGCUCACUAGUCGAGUGACACUGCGCCGAAAAUGUACCGGGGCUAAACAUAUUACCGAAGCUGUGGAUUGUCCUUUGGACAAUGGUAGGAGAGCGUUCUAAGGGCGUUGAAGCAUGAUCGUAAGGACAUGUGGAGCGCUUAGAAGUGAGAAUGCCGGUGUGAGUAGCGAAAGACGGGUGAGAAUCCCGUCCACCGAUUGACUAAGGUUUCCAGAGGAAGGCUCGUCCGCUCUGGGUUAGUCGGGUCCUAAGCUGAGGCCGACAGGCGUAGGCGAUGGAUAACAGGUUGAUAUUCCUGUACCACCUAUAAUCGUUUUAAUCGAUGGGGGGACGCAGUAGGAUAGGCGAAGCGUGCGAUUGGAUUGCACGUCUAAGCAGUAAGGCUGAGUAUUAGGCAAAUCCGGUACUCGUUAAGGCUGAGCUGUGAUGGGGAGAAGACAUUGUGUCUUCGAGUCGUUGAUUUCACACUGCCGAGAAAAGCCUCUAGAUAGAAAAUAGGUGCCCGUACCGCAAACCGACACAGGUAGUCAAGAUGAGAAUUCUAAGGUGAGCGAGCGAACUCUCGUUAAGGAACUCGGCAAAAUGACCCCGUAACUUCGGGAGAAGUGGUGCUCUUUAGGGUUAACGCCCAGAAGAGCCGCAGUGAAUAGGCCCAAGCGACUGUUUAUCAAAAACACAGGUCUCUGCUAAACCGUAAGGUGAUGUAUAGGGGCUGACGCCUGCCCGGUGCUGGAAGGUUAAGAGGAGUGGUUAGCUUCUGCGAAGCUACGAAUCGAAGCCCCAGUAAACGGCGGCCGUAACUAUAACGGUCCUAAGGUAGCGAAAUUCCUUGUCGGGUAAGUUCCGACCCGCACGAAAGGCGUAACGAUUUGGGCACUGUCUCAACGAGAGACUCGGUGAAAUCAUAGUACCUGUGAAGAUGCAGGUUACCCGCGACAGGACGGAAAGACCCCGUGGAGCUUUACUGUAGCCUGAUAUUGAAAUUCGGCACAGCUUGUACAGGAUAGGUAGGAGCCUUUGAAACGUGAGCGCUAGCUUACGUGGAGGCGCUGGUGGGAUACUACCCUAGCUGUGUUGGCUUUCUAACCCGCACCACUUAUCGUGGUGGGAGACAGUGUCAGGCGGGCAGUUUGACUGGGGCGGUCGCCUCCUAAAAGGUAACGGAGGCGCUCAAAGGUUCCCUCAGAAUGGUUGGAAAUCAUUCAUAGAGUGUAAAGGCAUAAGGGAGCUUGACUGCGAGACCUACAAGUCGAGCAGGGUCGAAAGACGGACUUAGUGAUCCGGUGGUUCCGCAUGGAAGGGCCAUCGCUCAACGGAUAAAAGCUACCCCGGGGAUAACAGGCUUAUCUCCCCCAAGAGUUCACAUCGACGGGGAGGUUUGGCACCUCGAUGUCGGCUCAUCGCAUCCUGGGGCUGUAGUCGGUCCCAAGGGUUGGGCUGUUCGCCCAUUAAAGCGGUACGCGAGCUGGGUUCAGAACGUCGUGAGACAGUUCGGUCCCUAUCCGUCGUGGGCGUAGGAAAUUUGAGAGGAGCUGUCCUUAGUACGAGAGGACCGGGAUGGACAUACCUCUGGUGUACCAGUUGUCGUGCCAACGGCAUAGCUGGGUAGCUAUGUGUGGACGGGAUAAGUGCUGAAAGCAUCUAAGCAUGAAGCCCCCCUCAAGAUGAGAUUUCCCAACUUCGGUUAUAAGAUCCCUCAAAGAUGAUGAGGUUAAUAGGUUCGAGGUGGAAGCAUGGUGACAUGUGGAGCUGACGAAUACUAAUCGAUCGAAGACUUAAUCAA
rnacentral:rRNA from 1 species